rfam:Schistosoma mansoni strain Puerto Rico chromosome 2, complete genome
AUCCAGCCGAUGAGUGCCAAAUAGAAUGAAGCGCGCGUCCUGGAU